rnacentral:rRNA from 1 species
GACGAACGCUGGCGGCGUGCUUAACACAUGCCAGACGAACGGAAAGGCCCUGCUUUUGUGGGGUGCUCGAGUGGCGAACGGGUGAGUAACACGUGAGUAACCUGCCCUUGACUUUGGGAUAACUUCAGGAAACUGGGGCUAAUACCGGAUAGGAGCUCCUGCUGCAUGGUGGGGGUUGGAAAGUUUCGGCGGUUGGGGAUGGACUCGCGGCUUAUCAGCUUGUUGGUGGGGUAGUGGCUUACCAAGGCUUUGACGGGUAGCCGGCCUGAGAGGGUGACCGGCCACAUUGGGACUGAGAUACGGCCCAGACUCCUACGGGAGGCAGCAGUGGGGAAUAUUGCACAAUGGGCGGAAGCCUGAUGCAGCAACGCCGCGUGCGGGAUGACGGCCUUCGGGUUGUAAACCGCUUUCGCCUGUGACGAAGCGUGAGUGACGGUAAUGGGUAAAGAAGCACCGGCUAACUACGUG